UGAAUUUCAGAGUGCCUUUUAUUACCUGGUACUUCACAUGUUCAAAACAGAUCUCAUUUUGAUUCCAGCUGCGAAUCCUCAACAGUUCAGUCUUCAAGAUCUCCAGAUAUGCUGUACGAAUAAGGAUAAGAAAGUAAAGGAAAUAACCUUUCUCCUCUUUCUUUCUCUGGUGUCUGCACAUAGGGAGACAGAGGACACAGGCUGAAGAGCUUGAACACAUAGUUCAUUCAUGGAAUAAAUUUCUUCAAAAUUCAGGGAGUAUGUUUAAUAUCCAGGGUCCUUUGGAAAUAAAUAGGAACCAAUCCACUGUGAAGGACGCAGCACUCCCGAGCAGGAAAGACAUUGCACAUUCAGAGAGAUGUUGCAUGUGAAGACACUGCAAAAAAGAAAAAAAG
rnacentral:lncRNA from 1 species